AGCAGCCGCGGUAAUUCCAGCUCCAAUAGCGUAUAUUAAAGUUGUUGCAGUUAAAAAGCUCGUAGUUGAAUUUCGGGAUUAAUAUGUUGGUCGUGCCUUGGUACGUACUGGCAUUAUUGAUUCCUACCUUCUGAAGAACCUCGAUGUCAUUAAUUUGGUGUCUUGGGGAAUCAGGACCGUUACUUUGAAAAAUUAGAGUGUUUAAAGCAGGCUAACGCUUGAAUACAUUAGCAUGGAAUAAUGAAAUAGGACGUUUGAUCCUAUUUUGUUGGUUUCUAGGAUCGACGUAAUGAUUAAUAGGGAUAGUUGGGGGCAUUAGUAUUCAAUUGUCAGAGGUGAAAUUCUUGGAUUUAUUGAAGACUAACUACUGCGAAAGCAUUUGCCAAGGAUGUUUUCAUUAAUCAAGAACGAAAGUUAGGGGAUCGAAGACGAUCAGAUACCGUCGUAGUCUUAACCAUAAACUAUGCCGACUAGGGAUCGGAUGAUGUUAAUUUUUUAAUGUACUCAUUCGGCGCCUUAC
rnacentral:misc_RNA from 1 species